rnacentral:tRNA from 1 species
GCCGCAGAGGCCGAACCGGUAAGGCAGCCGGCUUCCACCCGGCAGGACGGGGUUCGAGCCCCCGCUGCGGCU